rnacentral:lncRNA from 1 species
AGCCUGAGCCAAUUCCAGACAUAGCUGCAGCGGUACCUCAUUGAAACCUGAAGCAAAGGACGUAUUACAAAGAUUUUGGAGAAUGCAUGGAAUAAAGGAAGGACUGAACAAUUAAGCUAUGGGAAGAACUGAAACACAGAAGUUCCAAGACCUCCAGAAGCUGGGGAAUGGAAACAUGCUUUCUAUAGCAUUGCCUAGCGUCGUGCAACUCUGACACUCUCUGUUUCUAUGUAUCUCAAUUCAGGUUUUCCAAUUAUUAGAAGAAUUAAUCUAACUGAACAAACUUGGGUCAGAUAUCUGUAUUUUGAGAGCAUAUAGCUAUGUCCAGGGGACAGAGUAGAAUACAUAGGCUUAUCCUUGGGGUAACUACAUGGAGCUGAGCAACCAUCGCAGUUUGUGU